CCCGGUAGAGCACGGCAGGGAGUGCAGGCCCCUCAUAAGGGCAAGGUCGGAGGAUCAUAACCUCCUACCGGGACCA
rnacentral:tRNA from 1 species